rnacentral:rRNA from 1 species
UAGGGAAUCUUCCGCAAUGGACGCAAGUCUGACGGAGCAACGCCGCGUGAGUGAAGAAGGAUUUCGGUUCGUAAAACUCUGUUGUUAGAGAAGAACAGCGCAUAGAGUAACUGUUAUGCGUGUGACGGUACUUAACCAGAAAGGGACGGCUAACUACGUGCCAGCAGCCGCGGUAAUACGUAGAUCCCGAGCGUUGUCCGGAUUUAUUGGGCGUAAAGCGAGCGCAGGCGGUUAGAAAAGUCUGAAGUGAAAUCCUGUAGCUCAACUACAGUAAGCUUUUAAAACUGCUCAUCUUGAGAUAUGGAAGGGAAAGUGGAAUUCCUAGUGUAGCGGUGAAAUGCGCAGAUAUUAGGAGGAAUACCGGUGGCGAAGGCGACUUUCUGGCCAUAAUCUGACGCUGAGGUACGAAAGCGUGGGUAGCAAACAGG